UAGGGAAUCUUCGGCAAUGGACGAAAGUCUGACCGAGCAACGCCGCGUGAGUGAAGAAGGUUUUCGGAUCGUAAAACUCUGUUGUUAGAGAAGAACAAGGACGUUAGUAACUGAACGUCCCCUGACGGUAUCUAACCAGAAAGCCACGGCUAACUACGUGCCAGCAGCCGCGGUAAUACGUAGGUGGCAAGCGUUGUCCGGAUUUAUUGGGCGUAAAGCGAGCGCAGGCGGUUUCUUAAGUCUGAUGUGAAAGCCCCCGGCUCAACCGGGGAGGGUCGUUGGAAACUGGGAGACUUGAGUGCAGAAGAGGAGAGUGGAAUUCCAUGUGUAGCGGUGAAAUGCGUAGAUAUAUGGAGGAACACCAGUGGCGAAGGCGGCUCUCUGAUCUGUAACUGACGCUGAGGCUCGAAAGCGUGGGGAGCAAACAGG
rnacentral:rRNA from 1 species